rnacentral:sRNA from 1 species
UGCUUGUCCUUCCUCAAACAAUUUUGAGC